rnacentral:rRNA from 1 species
AUUGAACGCUGGCGGCAGGCCUAACACAUGCAAGUCGGGCGGAGCGGCGGACGGGUGAGUAAUGUAUGGGGAUCUGCCUGAUGGAGGGGGAUAACUACUGGAAACGGUAGCUAAUACCGCAUACCAUCAGAUGAACCCAAAUGUUAUUAGCUUGUAGGUAAGGUAACGGCUUACCUAGGCGACGAUCCAUAGCUGGUCUGAGAGGAUGAUCAGCCCCACUGGGCGUGAGACACUGCCCAGACUCCUACGUGAGGCAGCAGUGGGGAAUAUUUCAAAAUGGGCGAAAGCCUGAUCCAGCCAUGCCGCGUGUGUGAAGAAGGUCUUCGGAUUGUAAAGCACUUUAAGUUGGGAGGCGUUACCAACAGAAUAAGCACCGGCUAACUUCGUGCCAGCAGCCGCGGUAAUUC